UGCCAGCCGCCGCGGUAAGACGAACCGUCCAAACGUUAUUCGGUAUCACUGGGCUUAAAGCGUGCGUAGGCGGCUUGGUAGGUGAGAUGUGAAAGCCCACGGCUCAACCGUGGAAUUGCGUUUCAAACCCCCAAGCUCGAGGAAGAUAGGGGUGAUGGGAACUUAUGGUGGAGCGGUGAAAUGCGUUGAUAUCAUAGGGAACACCGGUGGCGAAAGCGCAUCACUGGAUCUUUUCUGACGCUGAGGCACGAAAGCUAGGGUAGCGAACGGGAUUAGAUA
rnacentral:rRNA from 1 species